rnacentral:sRNA from 1 species
GCCGGGCGUUGUGGCGCACUCCCGUAUUCCCAGAGACUGGGGAGGCUGAGGCAGGAGGAUCGCAAGUUCAAAGCCAGCCUCACAACUUAGGCUCUAAGCAACUUAGUGAGAGCCUGUCUCAA